GCUCAACCGGGGAGGGUCAUUGGAAACUGGGGAACUUGAGUGCAGAAGAGGAGAGUGGAAUUCCACGUGUAGCGGUGAAAUGCGUAGAGAUGUGGAGGAACACCAGUGGCGAAGGCGACUCUCUGGUCUGUAACUGACGCUGAGGAGCGAAAGCGUGGGGAGCGAACAGGAUUAGAUACCCUGGUAGUUCACGCCGUAAACGAUGAGUGCUAAGUGUUAGGGGGUUUCCGCCCCUUAGUGCUGCAGCUAACGCAUUAAGCACUCCGCCUGGGGAGUACGGUCGCAAGACUGAAACUCAAAGGAAUUGACGGGGGCCCGCACAAGCGGUGGAGCAUGUGGUUUAAUUCGAAGCAACGCGAAGAACCUUACCAGGUCUUGACAUCCUCUGACAAUCCUAGAGAUAGGACGUCCCCUUCGGGGGCAGAGUGACAGGUGGUGCAUGGUUGUCGUCAGCUCGUGUCGUGAGAUGUUGGGUUAAGUCCCGCAACGAGCGCAACCCUUGAUCUUAGUUGCCAGCAUUCAGUUGGGCACUCUAAGGUGACUGCCGGUGACAAACCGGAGGAAGGUGGGGAUGACGUCAAAUCAUCAUGCCCCUUAUGACCUGGGCUACACACGUGCUACAAUGGACAGAACAAAG
rnacentral:rRNA from 1 species